rnacentral:rRNA from 1 species
CUUUGUCACUCCUACGGGAGGCAGCAGUGGGGAAUAUUGCACAAUGGGCGCAAGCCUGAUGCAGCCAUGCCGCGUGUGUGAAGAAGGCCUUCGGGUUGUAAAGCACUUUCAGUCGUGAGGAAGGUAGUGUAGUUAAUAGCUGCAUUAUUUGACGUUAGCGACAGAAGAAGCACCGGCUAACUCCGUGCCAGCAGCCGCGGUAAUACGGAGGGUGCGAGCGUUAAUCGGAAUUACUGGGCGUAAAGCGCAUGCAGGUGGUUUGUUAAGUCAGAUGUGAAAGCCCGGGGCUCAACCUCGGAAUAGCAUUUGAAACUGGCAGACUAGAGUACUGUAGAGGGGGUAGAAUUUCAGGUGUAGCGGUGAAAUGCGUAGAGAUCUGAAGGAAUACCGGUGGCGAAGGCGGCCCCCUGGACAGAUACUGACACUCAGAUGCGAAAGCGUGGGGAGCAAACAGGAUUAGAUACCCUGGUAG